UGGGGAAUUUUGGACAAUUGGGCGAAAGCCUGAUCCAGCAAUGCCGCGUGUGUGAAGAAGGCCUUCGGGUUGUAAAGCACUUUUGUCCGGAAAGAAAUCCUUGGCUCUAAUACAGUCGGGGGAUGACGGUACCGGAAGAAUAAGCACCGGCUAACUACGUGCCAGCAGCCGCGGUAAUACGUAGGGUGCAAGCGUUAAUCGGAAUUACUGGGCGUAAAGCGUGCGCAGGCGGUUUGCUAAGACCGAUGUGAAAUCCCCGGGCUCAACCUGGGAACUGCAUUGGUGACUGGCAGGCUAGAGUAUGGCAGAGGGGGGUAGAAUUCCACGUGUAGCAGUGAAAUGCGUAGAGAUGUGGAGGAAUACCGAUGGCGAAGGCAGCCCCCUGGGCCAAUACUGACGCUCAUGCACGAAAGCGUGGGGAGCAAACAGGAUUAGAUACCCUGGUAGUCCACGCCCUAAACGAUGUCAACUAGUUGUUGGGGAUUCAUUUCCUUAGUAACGUAGCUAACGCGUGAAGUUGACCGCCU
rnacentral:rRNA from 1 species